AGCAGCCGCGGUAAUUCCAGCUCCAAUAGCGUAUAUUAAAGUUGUUGCAGUUAAAAGCUCGUAGUUGAAUUUCGGGAUCAAUUAAUCGGUCGUGCCUCUGGUACGCACUGGUUUUAUUGGUUUCUCCCUUCUGACGAACCAGGAUGUCAUUAAUUUGGUGUCUUGGAGAAUCAGGACUGUUACUUUGAAAAAUUAGAGUGUUUAAAGCAGGCUAACGCUUGAAUACAUUAGCAUGGAAUAAUGAAAUAGGACGUUUGAUCCUAUUUUGUUGGUUUCUAGGAUCGACGUAAUGAUUAAUAGGGAUAGUUGGGGGCAUUAGUAUUCAAUUGUCAGAGGUGAAAUUCUUGGAUUUAUUGAAGACUAACUACUGCGAAAGCAUUUGCCAAGGAUGUUUUCAUUAAUCAAGAACGAAAGUUAGGGAUCGAAGACGAUCAGAUACCGUCGUAGUCUUAACCAUAAACUAUGCCGACUAGGGAUCGGAUGAUGUUAAUUUUUAAUGACUCAUUCGGCGCCUUAAC
rnacentral:misc_RNA from 1 species